AUGUCAAAGGGUUAAAUUAUCUUUUUACAUAAAAUAUCACCACUGACGUCCAGACAGCAUGGACUGUGAUUUUGAGUUACAGAAGAUGGUGCUAUGCAACAAAGACAAAAAGCCGUGGAGGUCAAAUGAUGUCAGAAAAGUUUAGGUUUCAAAACUACUCGGGACCUGUUACCAGGGGAGUAAGCAAAGAUCUCCAAGAAAUGUAUUGCCUAAGAGGAUAGAAAGCACUGUGACCUAGUACUCUGAGCAUAAGGAAUGAGGAAUUUAUUUCUACUCUGUCACUGAUUAGCUAUACAAACUCAUAUAAAUUCUAUUGCCUUUUUGUUUCCCUUAGUCUCCCAUAUUAUGUUGAGCAAUCAUGAUCUCUUGUCAAUCUGUCAGUCACUAAAAACUGUGGCUUGCUGUUGUUUCGUUCUGCUUUGUUUUUUCCCCUCCUGUGUUAAUACUGCUUAUUAGUGGUCUAUCCCAUCUCUGAAUCUUGCAAUGUGUUUCUUUGGCACUCUGAAAACUAUUGUUUCUGAAGGUAAUCACCCAAAAAAUGUUGAUAGUCUACACAUAGCUUUUCAUGCAGGUGUGGCUUAUCCCAUAGACGAGAGCCAUCUUUUCUGCUGAUAGACCUCACCACUUCAUGGAAGAAACAACCACAGAAAUGCUAGCAUGGAAAAACUGACAACAGCGUCAUCACCUGCCUCCUACUGGGUCUGCUUAAGUGACCUGAGACAACCACAGCACACAACAGGGUUCACAGAUGCCAGCGCACCCUCUAUUUCAAAUGUCAUGUUUGAAUGCCUCAGGCCUAAUUGUUGGUUCAGCUGUCAUAAACCAUGGGGAAAGUUGACUGAAGGUCUCAUGGCAAAGGAGGAUAGGGGCAUUGUAUUUUAAGUUGCCUGGGGCAUAAGGGACAAAGGCUUCCUUGUUUCAAGCAGAGUAAACUCAUCAAGUCCACAUUUUUUCAAGUUGGGUUUUGCCCUGGGACCAGAAAUUGUUAGAAUGAGUGAAAGGACAAAAAGGCAAGUGAUUUACAAUCCAGUGGGGAAAAAUUGCAUUAAACGCAAUAAUAAACUGAGAAACAAAACAUCUUUCUCUGAUUAU
rnacentral:lncRNA from 1 species